rnacentral:rRNA from 1 species
GACGGACGCUGGCGGCGUGCCUAAUACAUGCAAGUCGAACGCUUCUUUCCUCCCGAGUGCUUGCACUCAAUUGGAAAGAGGAGUGGCGGACGGGUGAGUAACACGUGGGUAACCUACCCAUCAGAGGGGGAUAACACUUUGAAACAGGUGCUAAUACCGCAUAACAGUUUAUGCCGCAUGGCUUAAGAGUUAACGGCGCUUUCGGGUGUCGUUGAUGGUUGGACCCGCGGUGCAUUAGCUAGUUGGUGAGGUAACGGCUCACCAAGGCCACGAUGCAUAGCCGACCUGAGAGGGUGAUCGGCCACACUGGGACUGAGACACGGCCCAGACUCCUACGGGAGGCAGCAGUAGGGAAUCUUCGGCAAUGGACGAAAGUCUGACCGAGCAACGCCGCGUGAGUGAAGAAGGUUUUCGGAUCGUAAAACUCUGUUGUUAGAGAAGAACAAGGACGUUAGUAACUGAACGUCCCCUGACGGUAUCUAAACAGAAAGCCACGGCUAACUACGUG